CAGGUCUGGAGAUUAAGGCCGGCCUUGCGCAGUCAGCGUCAUCUCUGGGCGGGUGUCAGGAAGCUUCUGCUCUGCAACGGUGGAGGAUACAGGCCUGGCAUCUCUGUGGCUGUGAAUUCUUCGCCUCCUACCUGAACUAAAUGAAGUCUAUUGGCACCGGGAGAAAACAAGAUCAGCAAACACGGAAUCAGAGCUGAGAGGGGCCACAGUUCAGAGAUGGCUUGUAGUGGACAAUGGCAAAGAUGGUCGGCAGCAUGCAGAGGAACAACAUGAACAAGAGCAUUGCCAGGUAGAAGUUGUUGGAUCUGCAGAAAGAGCAAGUAUCAUGCAGCAGCAUUCAUUCCAGAGGCUGAAUGAGUGUGUCCACAUAACCACCCAGAAGUAGCCACCACCUCUCUGGAUGGAACUGUUCUCUUAUUAGGGGCCUGGAGAGAUGGCUCAGUCAGUAAAGCACUUGCUGCACGAG